CUUAGUCCCAAUCUCUCUCGCUCUCGCUCUCACCUCUCACUUUCGCUCUCACUCUCUCUCUCUCUCUCCGCCGGUCCAGCUCAAAGUCGCUACUUGGUCCGGUAGUUUACUCUCUCCGCCGCCUCAGCUCGAAGUCGAUUUCAAUUAUCUUGAGAAGCCAUCGCCGCCACCAAGAUCUCUCUCACUAUCGCCGCCGGUCUCGGGAUCUCUCUCACUAUCGCUGCCGGUGUCAGUGUCAAGAAAUAUAAAGAGCCUCCUUCUUCUAUUGGAGAUGCCUCCAAUAGGAUUAAUAAAAGGGGCGAUACAGUGGAUGAGAAGAUCAAGAAGCUUGAUGUUGAACUUAAUAGAUACAGAGAGCAUGUCAAGAAGACAAGGAGCUUUCAGCAAAAGUUGCCAAGAUUGUGGGAGCGACUCCCAUUGUUACAGAAGAUCACACUCAGCCAUCAAAAUCAGCAGCAGCAAACACUUGAUAUGAUAUGCUAGAGUUUAUAUAUGAUUACCACUACAUGAAAUUGUUGUGGCUUUGAAACCCCCAGGCCUGAGUUUUCAGGGAGGAUACCCGAGAAAGAGAAAGCUAUAUUAGGCUUAUCGUGGACAUGUUGAAAAUUGUUGAAGGGAUGAAGUCAUUCAGUCUCCGAUCAAUAUGCAAACACUUGAGAUGCUGGAGAAGGAGGAGAAGCUCCUUGGCAGCGUUGUAAUAAAGAAACACUACUGUUUCUAUGAGUCGCAUUUGUAAUUGAUUGGGGGUUCUUCAAAAUUGAAUCCUAAAGACGGUCUAGAGACGAAGGGGGAGACUCUUGGUGGAUUGGGUGUGCACUGAAAAUGGAGCAAGGCCAACCAGAGGUGAGCUAGGUUUUGAGUUCUUGGUGAAUAGGAGUGGGCAGCCUUAUCUGAUUCAGACAAAUACCUUAAUCA